rnacentral:rRNA from 1 species
GACGAACCGUCCUAACGUUGUUCGGAAUCACUGGGCUUAAAGGGCGCGUAGGCGGCUUGCCAAGUCAGGGGUGAAACUCUGAGCUUAACUGUAGAAGGGCCUUUGAUACUGGCGAGCUCGAGGGAGGUAGGGGUAUGUGGAACUUCCGGUGGAGCGGUGAAAUGCGUUGAUAUCGGAAGGAACGCCGGUGGCGAAAGCGACGUACUGGACCUCUUCUGACGCUGAGGCGCGAAAGCCAGGGGAGCAAACGGG